rnacentral:rRNA from 1 species
UACGACUACAUAUCAGGCAUAUCAAUAAGCGGAGGAAAAGAAACUAACUAGGAUUCCCUCAGUAACGGCGAGUGAAGCGGGAAGAGCUCAAAUCUGAAAUCUUCAAGGUUUCACCUUGACGAAUUGUAGUUUAAAGAAGUGUUUUCUGUUGGAGUUUUGGUAAAAGUUCUUUGGAAUAGGACAUCAUAGAGGGUGAGAAUCCCGUAUUUGACCAUUAUUUCCAGCUUUGUGAUACACUUUCAAAGAGUCGGAUUGUUUGGGAAUGCAGUCCAAAAUGGGUGGUAAAUUUCAUCUAAAGCUAAAUAUUGGCGAGAGACCGAUAGCGAACAAGUACCGUGAGGGAAAGAUGAAAAGAACUUUGAAAGGAGAGUUAAACAGUACGUGAAAUUGUCAAAAGGGAAGCGUUUGACACCAGUGUUGUUUCUACGAAAAUCAAUUUAUGAUGGCUUGAUGCUAAGCUUUAAGACUUUAUCCGCUUGUUGUUUAGUUUCCUUGUCUUUGUGAAUGCACUUUUCGUGGAACAAGUCAACAUCAAUUUCUUUUGCUGUAAAAGGGUAAGAGGAAGGUGGCUUCGGCUUCGGUUGAAGUGUUUAUAGCCUUUUAUCUCUGCAGUCGGAGAGAUUGAGGUCUGCAGCGUAGACUCUUCGGGGUUAGAUACGUCGGUGCUAAGCUAUAGCUUUUCAUAGACAACUUGUUGACUAUGUUAGUCAUGUAGCUUACUCCGCUGCUGCUAUUUUACCUACGCUUAGGAUGUUGACUGAUAUGUAGUCGU